CAUAAAAACACCACCAGGAGCAGUCACCAUGGACUCGCCCUUUCCCCGCUUUUCUCCUUUUACCCUCACAGCAGCCGGGUGAGGUGAGAACACGGUCACAUCCAGGCUCCGAGAGGUUCUGUGGCCGAGAACCCAAGGUCGCGAACGGAAGUGGCCGCAGCAGAGGACCCUGAACCCAGAGCUGCCCGGUGCAAGCUCGCGGUUUCUGAGGUCGAACCGUGGAGACCCGGUGUCCUUUGAAUCCUCAUUUUGAAGAUGAGCAAAGAGGCUCCGAGUGGUUGAGUGCCUUGCCCAUGGUCCCACAGCAGGUAAGUGAGCCAGGAAGUGCAGGUGGCCUCCAGAAGCUGAAAAAGGCAAGACAACAGAGUCCCAAGGAAGAAGUACAGCCCCCCCACCCCCAGCAUCUUGAUCUUAGCCAGGUGAGUCUGUCAUCAAACAUCCGACCUCCAGAAAGGUAAAAAUAAAUCUGUGUUGUUUUACGCCACUAAGUUUACAGUGAUUUCUUGUGGCAGCACAGGAAACUAACACAUAG